CGUACGUGGUCUCGACCUGAAAGGACUUCGACCUUCUCGUAAAUUGGCGUAAACUACACCUGGCGUAAAUUCGCGUGCGAACGCGACAGGUUUCAUUAACGCCCGCGUUCCUGACUAUCAUACACGUGGGACGUAAGAUCUCCUAUCCUGGCAGGAGCAACAUUGUACCGUGUACCGUGCAUCUGGCCUGUGUUAUCUAAAAUAUAUAUAUAUAUAUAUAUGUAUAUACAUACGUUUCUAACGUAUACAUGCAUAUGUAUGUUGCACGUACGCACGUAACUACUUACUAGAGCUAGGGACGAUAAACUUCCUAGACUUCCAACGGUAGCAACACUCGAGGUAUUUAUCUGCUUAUCUUUCGGGUUGGUUGUCGUGCACCCUUAAACCUUAUUACAAUUCCACUUUCCCAUGUUUUCCACGAACGCUAACAAUUUUUUUGUCUCCAUUUUUCAAAAUCCCACAUUUCCAAUGACCUUCUAAUCCUCGUUCUAAAUCCUACAUUUAUAACUCUUAAUAUUAUCUUGGAUAGAACGAUAUUGUACGAUAUUGUAUGUACGUCGAAGAUAAAAUAUUCGUCGAAUUCGAGACAAAAGAAAAGAAAAGAGAAAAAAAAAAGAAAAUAAAAGGAGAAAGAAAAUAAAAUCAAAAUCACACGAUUACACGAUCGUACGAGUAAUUUCGGACGAACUAAGAAAUUUAUAUAUGUCGUAUGAAGUACGCUACAUACGAAAAUGACUUUCGGAAGUGUCUUUCCAGAGAUGGGAAAUUACCUCAACGUUCUCUUACCAAGUAAUACCGGAAAAUGGUGUAACACUUUGAAAGUGACCACGAGUAACUGCGAUCACCGAGUUGGUAGAUACUGGAGCUAGCUACGUUUAUGAGAGAAGUUAUGUGAUCUCAUACGGAUAAUCUCUUUAAGACCGGACUUUCGGACGGAAGGGCAAACAAAUUUCACUCGUGACAACAGAAAAUCACAUUCGCAAUCAAGAGAGGCGAGCAUAUCAAAAAGGUUUUCGCGUGAACGAUCCGACGAGCAAUUAUGUUCACCGACUACGUUAAUGCGGUCGAAGCUUUUUUUCGAGAAAGGAAAAAGCUUUUUGGACGAUUCAGUCCAAAGAUGAGGAUGAAAAAAAAAAUGGUCGGGUGGAAGGAACGCAAAAAAUAAAAUAUGAUAAUCUUUAUGAUUAACCUUAUAUCGAUGCAUUGCCGACGACGAUGGUGACCAUUACUAAGGUCUUACUUCUACCCUAAACUCAUCGGCCAUUCGAUGAAGGUGAAAGUUUUCUUCUUCGGAGGGUUGCCGAAGAAAAUUACCGGAUGGAAAAAAGUCGAAAGGCAGGAAAAUCUGUCUAUGGAGAUUACGCAUGCCAUCCGGACAAAGAGGCACGAGGACGUCAGAGUUAAUUAAGGGUGUGUUCCAUCGUGACCCGUCGUCUACGUCGUCAUCGUCAUAGCCAUCAUUCUCGUCUCCUGUAAUUUCGCGUCUCACA